UACGAGGGGCCCAAACGUUAUUCGGAAUUACUGGGCUUAAAGAGUUCGUAGGCGGCGCAGAAAGUAGGGUGUGAAAGCCCUCGGCUUAACCGAGGAAUUGCGCUCUAAACUACUGUGCUUGAGGAACCUAGAGGUGAGCAGAACAGAUGGUGGAGCGGUGAAAUGCGUUGAUAUCAUCUGGAAUACCGGAGGCGAAGGCGGCUCACUGGGGGUUUUCUGACGCUGAGGAACGAAAGCCAGGGUAGCGAACGGG
rnacentral:rRNA from 1 species